UACGUAGGGGGCAAGCGUUGUCCGGAAUCAUUGGGCGUAAAGCGCGCGUAGGCGGCCUCGUAAGUCCGCUGUGAAAGUCAAAGGCUCAACCUUUGAAUGCCGGUGGAUACUGCGAGGCUAGAGUCCGGAAGAGGCGAGUGGAACUCCUGGUGUAGCGGUGGAAUGCGCAGAUAUCAGGAAGAACACCAACGGCGAAGGCAGCUCGCUAGGACGGUACUGACGCUGAGACGCGAAAGCGUGGGGAGCAAACAGG
rnacentral:rRNA from 1 species